CACGAAGUGAGUGGCGAACGGGUGAGUAACACGUGGGUAACCUGCCCAGAAGUAGGGGAUAACACCUGGAAACAGAUGCUAAUACCGUAUAACAGAGAAAACCGCAUGGUUUUCUUUUAAAAGAUGGCUCUGCUAUCACUUCUGGAUGGACCCGCGGCGUAUUAGCUAGUUGGUGAGGUAAAGGCUCACCAAGGCAGUGAUACGUAGCCGACCUGAGAGGGUAAUCGGCCACAUUGGGACUGAGACACGGCCCAGACUCCUACGGGAGGCAGCAGUAGGGAAUCUUCCACAAUGGACGCAAGUCUGAUGGAGCAACGCCGCGUGAGUGAAGAAGGGUUUCGGCUCGUAAAGCUCUGUUGUUAAAGAAGAACGUGGGUAAGAGU
rnacentral:rRNA from 1 species